rnacentral:rRNA from 1 species
AUUGAACGCUGGCGGCAGGCCUAACACAUGCAAGUCGAGCGAGCGGCGGACGGGCGAGUAAUGUAUGGGGAUCUGCCCGAUAGAGGGGGAUAACUACUGGAAACGGUAGCUAAUACCGCAUACCAUAAGCUGAACCCAUAUGGGAUUAGCUUGUAGGUGAGGUAACGGCUCACCUAGGCGACGAUCCCUAGCUGGUCUGAGAGGAUGAUCAGCCACACUGGAACUGAGACACGGUCCAGACUCCUGCGGGAGGCAGCAGUGGCGAAUAUUGCACAAUGGGCGCAAGCCUGAUACAGCCAUGCCGCGUGUGUGAAGAAGGCCUUCGGGUUGUAAAGCACUUUCAGCGAGGAGGCGUUACUCGCAGAAGAAGCACCGGCUAACUCCGUGCCAGCCGCCGCGGUAAUUC